CCCAGUUUUACAAUACUUCCAUGGAAGGAGUGUAUUUGGAUGAGAAUGGGCAGUUGACAGUCGAAUCUGACGUUGUGAACUGGGUGCCAUUUCCCAACAAAUCCUUUGGUGCAGUGAAAUUUGGGAGCAUAAGCAGACAGGGAUCCUCAGGCCCAAAAUUCACCAUUGACCAAGAGGCUCUUGUGUGGUCCAGAAUGUUCAACCAGGUUUGGAAAACCAAUUCAUUGCAUUUACCCCUUUUAGAGGUAUGUUGCCUAUCCAACAUAAUAAUGAUCCAAGGAUUAGGGAAAUCCUACCUUUUUCUUUUUUCUAUGACUAUGACUUGUGUUUAAAUGUAAACUUUACUUUAAAAAACAAAUAAAAAAAUCUAUAAAAGGAAACAUGAAAAUGGAGAAGCAUGUUGGACUAUGACUGGGGCAUGGGCUUUUCAGUGGUCAGAAAGCAGGCCAGACUUAAGAAUUGAGCACAACACGGCUGCUCCAAAUACUUUUCCGUUUCAGCUUGUUUGUUUCUCUGGUUUUGAUAUUUUUAACUGACUGCAGAUUGGUACUGUGUUUACUAGAGCUUUGUUAUAAUGGCAGAGAGCUCUGACUCCUAAAUCCAAGGGCAAUACAGUCUCCAUGUAAUUCUUUCUUCUUGAUAAUCUCUUUCUACCCCAACUGUGUCCCAAGGGCUAUGACCCUCUGUUUUGUCCUAUGGAUCAAAAAAAAAUCUACACCAAAGCCAUGUCUAUGCCACAUAGAUUGAAAUUGUACAAUGCCCCAGAAAUUACUUGGCUUUCAUUGAUGCUUUCUGUCUUUUUGCUCAGACCCUUCCUCAUUCCAGGUGUACCCAAAGUUGUCGCCCUGGAAAUGACAAGAAGGUUCAGGAAGGGAAACCCAUUUGCUGCCAUGGUUGUGCUCCAUGUGCAGAAGGGAUGAUCUCCACUCAGGAAGGUAAGAGACUUGAGAGGAAUGUGCAGCAAAAAGAAUAUAUGUCCUUUUUUGAUGAAUAUUCAAAUAUAAUCUUAUGGUUGAAUUUAAUAAAAGUUCAAUGGUGAUUUACAUAGUCUUAAUAAAGCUUUCCAGGUACCACUGAAACAGCCUUGAGUAUGUAAGAAUUAGGCAGUGUUGCUGCAUCUGGUAGGCUCCCUUGACCAGUCAGUGUGGCAAAGUAGCUAGGAUGUUUGGUUUGUACUGGGAAGACGAGAGUUCCAGUCCAUGCUCCUCCGAGGAUUUUUUUCUGUAAAUUACGCCCAUCUGACAACACCUGGUGUUAGGGGUGAGAUCAAAUGUAGCUGCAAUUAAGGACUUGGAGCUUCGAGAUCACUCCAAGCUCUUCCUUGGGAGGUGAAUAAGAAGUUAUCAGCACGAGGGACCUACAUUGCAAGGACCAACUCUCUGUGUUGAUUAGCAGAAAUAGCAAGUCCCAUCACUGUUUCCAUUUGCAUGGGGUGGCUGGAUUCAAAAUUGACCUGCUUUUUUUUGCUAGUCUACAGAAAAAUGUUCAAGCAGACACUCUUUUUUCCCCAGAUGCAGACCACUGCACCAAAUGUCCAGAACAUCAACAUCCAAACAAAGACAGAGAUCAAUGCAUCCCCAAGAUUAUCACCUUCCUGUCCUAUGAUGAAUAUCCGGGGACCCUCUUGGCUUCCACUGCCCUGUUUUUGUCCUUAAUCACAGGCCUUGUUUUAGGAAUAUUCAUUAAAUAUCUUGACACUCCCAUAGUCAAAGCCAACAACAGGGACCUUUCCUACAUCCUCCUUGUCUCCCUCCUCCUUUCCUUUUUGUCCUCCUUUCUGUUUAUAGGCCGGCCAAGGAAAGUGACCUGCCUUCUCAGGCAGACGGCCUUUGGCAUCAUCUUCUCAGUUGCUGUCUCUUCUUUGUUGGCAAAAACUAUUACUGUUGUGCUGGCCUUCCUGGCCACUAAGCCAGGAAACAGGGUGAGGAGAUGGCUGGGGAAGAGUCUGGCCAACUCCAUUGUCAUGUCCUGUUCCAGUAUCCAAAUUCUCAUCUGUGUCAUCUGGCUGGGUACCUCUCCUCCAUUCUCAGACUCUGACAUGCACUCCCAGCCCCAAGAGAUCAUCCUGCAGUGCAACGAAGGAUCUGCUGCCAUGUUUUACACUGUCCUUGGCUACAUGGGCUUCCUGGCUGCCAUCUGCUUCACGGUGGCUUUCCUAGCCAGGAAGCUGCCUGGGUCCUUCAAUGAGGCCAAGCUGAUCACCUUCAGCAUGCUGGUCUUCUGCAGUGUUUGGGUGUCCUUUGUGCCCACCUACCUGAGCACCAAGGGGAAAUACAUGGUGGCUGUGCAGAUCUUCUCUAUCUUGGCCUCCAGUGCUGGGCUUCUGGGCUGCAUCUUCCUUCCCAAGUGCUACAUUAUUGUACUCAGGCCUAGUCUGAAUACAAAGGAGCACCUGACUACAAAGGCUUAAUAUGGCACCUGAUUCCUAAAAUAUGUUUUUGGUUUUUGCAAUUGAUAGCCAGCAUAAAGGCAGGACACAUGAGUUGGGAAUGUAGCUCCUUAAAAGCUAUUGUUUUGGAGAUCAGAACGCAAAAUAAUCAUUUAAAUCACAUUCCAUCCUUAGUACUGUUCAUUUCUUACCUGAUUUAGGAAUUCUUUUCUGAAUACUGUUUAUAUAUUUUGCCUAAUAAGAAAUCCUUAUCACAAUUCAAUAAUAAUGAAUGCUGUUCAUUAGGAGAAUCUUUUUUAAAGAUAGCAUUACAAAUAAAUUGCUUAUGCAUUGUUUUUCAAAAUGAAAAGAAACAUAUUCCAUUGGUAUCUCUUGGUAUCCAGAAGUCCUGGUGUGCUGAAGGUGGCGGGCGAGAAAAAAGAAGACUGGAAAUGGGCAGGUCAUGAAGGGAGGGAUGCAAUGGGAGCUGCAAGGGACGUGGCAGCUCAGGAGUGUUGCAGAUAUUAAUAUUGCACAGUCUGAAGCGACUGGAAGCACAAGAACUGACUCCUUCUGGAAGAAAUCAUUGUGAAGACCCAUAAAAAUAGUAUUCAAAGUUUUAGUGGCAGAACUCUUCAAAAACAGAGCAUAAUAAUCAAAGAUACUACCAGAAUAUCCAUACAAUGUCUUGUGCUGUCCAGCACAGGCUCAGCAUCUUAGGAAAAUAUGGAAUAAUCCAUGCAGACCUAGAAGCAGAAGUCUCUCUCUCCUCCUCAGCCCGCUUUCCAGCCACCAUUGGCCUCAGGCUGUUUACUCUCCCUUCAUUUUCAUCCUCACUCCAUGGAGCUUGGGAGAGAAAGACUAGAAUCAUAGAAUCAUAGAGUUGGAAGAGACCACAAGGGCCAUCGAGUCCAACCCCCUGCCAAGCAGGAAACACCAUCAGAGCACUCCUGACAUAUGGUUGUCAAGCCUCUGCUUAAAGACCUCCAAAGAAGGAGACUCCACCACACUCCUUGGCAGCAAAUGCCACUGUCAAACAGCUCUUACUGUCAGGAAGUUCUUCCUAAUGUUUAGGUGGAAUCUUCUUUCUUGUAGUUUGGAUCCAUUGCUGCGUGUCCGCUUCUCUGGAGCAGCAGAAAACAACCUUUCUCCCUCCUCUAUGUGACAUCCUUUUAUAUAUUUGAACAUGGCUAUCAUAUCACCCCUUAACCUCCUCUUCUCCAGGCUAAACAUGCCCAGCUCUCUUAGCCGUUCCUCAUAAGGCAUCGUUUCCAGGUCUUUGACCAUUUUGGUUGCCCUCCUCUGGACAUGUUCCAGUUUGUCAAUGUCCUUCUUGAACUGUGGUGCCCAGAACUGGACACAGUACUCCAGGUGAGGUCUGACCAGAGCAGAAUACAGUGGCACUAUUACUUCCCUUGAUCUAAAGGCAACUCCCUUUGGAAAUGGAGGUUUGCAACUCAAUUCCUUCAUCACAUGAUCAAAGGUUCACUCUCAGCACAGAGUAGAAAACAACCAACAGUAAUUUGUUAACAAAUUAAGGAGCUCAGUGCUUUAGGAAAUAGCUUUGGAAAAGCCCCAAUAUUAGGAACGCUUCAUUAAUACACAUUCAGACAUUUCCCAUUUUAAAGCUACCUUUACAUUUCAGUGUGAAUUAAAUCAAUUAUAUUUAGCAAGGAGUAGGGUGGCAAGAACAGGAGACAGUGAGCACCAUGCUCCUUGGACCCAGAUCUUCUGCCCCUCCCAACUGUCCCCAAGGCAAAUGUCUCACUGUGCCUCAUGGGGGUCUCCCCUGCACCCACAGGAACCUCAGGAAAGAGCAGAGCUCACAGCAGGAAGAGAACUCAGAUGAAUUUUCUGUACCCUUUCUAAAUAUUAGAGAGUAUAAGUAUUAACAUUGCAUUGUCCCUUCCUAAUCACAAGAUAAAAAUUGCCUGAAAAUAAUACCCAUCUCUCUCACUGUCAAUGUGUUACGAUAUAGAAGCAAUGCGGCCGCGAGCUGGUAGCUUGAAAGCAAAACAUAAUGGGAAUGUUGGGACUGUUCCGUGGGAAACAGAGGGACAGUCUAUUCACAGUGCGAAGCACCGGAAUUAGCUCAGAGUGUAAUAUGAGCUGUACAGGAAGUACAGGAGGAGUUUGUCUCUCGACUGCUGAAGCUUGAAGAGAGCAGACAUGAUUUUUGUAACACUGCAAAGACAGAAAUAAAGGCAUGUAACUACGUCUCUGUCUAUCUCUCUCCCCUGCCCAGGGGGGGCAGGAAAGAGGGGGGGUGUUCUUCUCACGCUGAGGAGGAUCGCCUAUCGCGACCUAGCCUGGAUCCUGCCGGGAAUGCAGACAGGGAGGUCAACAGGAGAUCAAGCCGGGUGCCUGGAGAGUGGCCAGUUUCUCCUGAUAAAUGAUUUAAUCCCAACAUAUGGUAGCACGGAGCCGAUGGUUUUGAUCCAUGAAAGCAACAAGAGAGGUUGAUGGAUCGUACUUCAUCCUCUGCAAGGAGAUAAAGAAAGAAUGUGGUAGCGGGCGGAUGGAAGCUACAAGGACGGCUGAGCACCGGAGGAGGUGUUUUUUGCUGAGCAACGGAUUCCCUCCAGGUAUGGUGAUUUUAUGGCUGUGAGAGUGAACGCGAAUUGAAGCAUUCUUCGGUUCACUGAGUGUCUGCUUUUGGAUGAAACCAGCACUGAGAGAAAUAGCCUGCAUAUUUCGCAUUCCUGGGGUUGAUAAGGGUUGCUGCUCAAGCCUGGAAUGUCCAGUUGCUAAGCAACGAAACGUCAGUAAGGUGGAAAGUUACUGGCCAACACGGAAGUAAGGCUGAGCACUGUGAGAGACUGGAAAAACACUGAGAAAACAGAGUUUGUUUUGUCUAUUAUCUCACUGCUCUUGGAGGGACUUUCAAAACAGCCUGUGUUUAGCUGCCAAGUGUGAGGCAGUAAACAGCCAAUAGACUUUUGGAGUUUACAGGCUCGAGAGUGAGAGCUGAGGCUUGGAUUCAAAAUGGAUACCAAGAAGGGGGGAGGCUUACCUUACCCACCUCCACUGACUAAUGACAAUUAUUCCUCAUGGUCUGUAAAGAUGAAAGCCCUGCUUCAGAAUCAGAGGAUUUUUGGGGUGAUUGAUAACCCCAUCCCUGCUGCACCAACGCCAGGUUGGAAUUCACAGAAUGUGAGAGCCAGGACGGCCAUAAUUCUGUGUAUCUCGGAUGAUCAGCUCGUGCAUAUUCAGCAUUUGGAAUACGCGCGUGAGAUUUGGCAUACGCUGCGUAGAAUACAUCAAAGAGAUGCUGGUUCUUCAGCGUUGCUGCAUUUUGAAAAGCUAACCAAUCUAAGGCUAGCGCCUGAUGGAGAUGUACAAGCGCAUCUGACAGAGAUGAAAUUCUUACGCCAGCAGAUGGCGGAACGCAAUUUCCCUCUACAGGAAGAGAUAUUCUGCUUCAUGAUUAUUAACAGCCUUAAUCGGACUUACAAAACGGUUGCAAGUCAGCUUGGUUCUCUACCUGCCGCAGAUCUUUCGACGGAGAGAAUUUGUGCCGUGAUUCUCAAUGAGAAAGACAGACUUGCUGCAAUAGAUGUCAAAGACAGGGGGAGAGAAGCUCGGAGUUCAAGCACCCCCGCUGCUAUUGCUAGUGAAGAACAGGCUGUUGCUUUGAACGUUGUCCGUUGUUUCAAUUGUGGACAGACUGGGCAUCUUCAGCGGAAUUGUAAGAAGCCACGUCAACAGAAAGGAGCUAAGGGGAGCUCUGCAAAGCCUGAGGCAUCAGGCAAAAGUCGUACCAAGUCCCAGAUGAAACCUGCGAAGGCAUUGCUGUCAACAAAAGCCGCAUUUUCAAUGGAGAACGCUUUUAUUUUGGACACUGGAGCGACGCAACACAUGACGUCGCGGCUAGAUCUGUUUUCAACGUUUAAGAAGCAAAGCUUCACUGUGAAACAAGCCAACGGUCAGGAGCUGGAAGCGACUGGGUUUGGAACUGUGUAUCUUGAGAGUCUGAACUUGACUAUAAACAAUGUGUAUUUGGUUCCUGAUUUAAAGUUCAAUCUGCUGAGUGUUUCGCAGAUCACAAAGAAAGGACUGACUUUGUCCUAUGAUAGAGAAAGCUGCAAAAUCUUCAAAGAUGGAGAGCUGUAUCUUUCUGCCAGAGAGAAAGAUGGACUGUAUUUGUUGACUUUUGAUCAAAGUGAUUGCAUAAAUUGUAAUGCAUCUGAUUCCAACAUGAUUUCUCUCGCAGGUGUGUCGAAAAACGUCCAGAAGACGACGCAAGUAACCAAAGCUUUUCAGCGAGUGUAUGCUGAUGUGAUUGGUCCUCUAGCACCGUCUAGAGGCAAUGCAAGAUAUUAUCUUGUGUGUGUGGAUUAUUUCUCUCAUUAUGUGUGGAUACAUAUAUUGCAGAAACCACAAGAAGCCUUAGAAAGGUUUAAAGAGUUUUGUGACAAGGUUAAGGAUGUUCAUAAUGCUAACAUUGAUUGUCUUUUCACAGAUGAAAAGCCAGUUUUUCUUUUGCAGGAUUUUCAGGAUUUCCUGGAUAAGAAAGGGAUAAGGCACAAGACUGCUGUUUCUGCAGAAGCAUGGAACAGAAGUGUCUGUGUGCAAGUGAACAAAGAAUUGCAAAAUGGCAUGAAGGCGCAAUUGCUGAGUUCACAUUUGCCACAUUAAUAUUGGGCAGAAUCGUUAAUGUGUUUUUGUUACAGUUGGGUGAGAAAGGUUUCAAAAGGUUUAGGAAGUUCUCCUUUUGAAAAGCUAUUCCACAGAAAACCUUCUGUUGCCCAUUUUAAGGUUUUUGGGUCUCAUGUAAAGACUGAAGCUCCAGGUGGAGUAAAGAAUGCUAGAGGCAUUUUUGUGGGUUAUGAAAAGGGUCUCUACAGAGUAAUUUUGUCUGAAUCUGGUCAGGUGGUUCUCACAAAAUUUCUAGAGAGUGCUCCUGAACAGGAGAAAGUAAUUGUUCACACAUUUCCCACUGAGGACAAUUCAGAUGAUGAUGAUGAUUUUACUGAUUACAGUGGUACUAAAAAUGACAGUGAUAGCUCAAAGAGCUCAGUUGACACAGUCAUUGAGAGGAAAUCUCACACAAUGGAUAGACCUUCACAGGUGAAGGAUGAACCACUGUUUACUAUUGGAACUGGUUCUCCAAAGAGUCCUGAGACUGAACCAGUGAGCAGAGAGGAUCAGCACCUCAUACGCAGGUCCGAGAGAGUUACAAAGGGUGUACCACCCAAGAGGUAUUCAAAAGAGUUUGCUAACUCAGCUGUAGCAUGUGUUACUAUUGUUGACAACUCAAGACAGGUUGAAGCUGUGUCUAAGUCAGAGACAAAGACACAACAGAGAGUUGCUAAGCGUAACACUACAUUCCCUAGCCAAGGUAAUGCAGAUGCACUCAUUCCUUGGAAGACAGACAACCAGAGAGGUACACUGGGGAAACCAGUGGCGGGUAGUUCCAAGGGUGGAACUGAAACAACAGGGGAGUGUUAUAUGUAUAACAACUGUUUGUUUUCUUCUCUGGAUCAUGCUUUGCUCGCAGCGCACAUUGAUUCAUAUGGGGGAGUAUGUUACGAUAUAGAAGCAAUGCGGCCGCGAGCUGGUAGCUUGAAAGCAAAACAUAAUGGGAAUGUUGGGACUGUUCCGUGGGAAACAGAGGGACAGUCUAUUCACAGUGCGAAGCACCGGAAUUAGCUCAGAGUGUAAUAUGAGCUGUACAGGAAGUACAGGAGGAGUUUGUCUCUCGACUGCUGAAGCUUGAAGAGAGCAGACAUGAUUUUUGUAACACUGCAAAGACAGAAAUAAAGGCAUGUAAAUACGUUUCUGUCUAUCUCUCUCCCCUGCCCAGGGGGGGCAGGACAGAGGGGGGGGUGUUCUUCUCACGCUGAGGAGGAUCGCCUAUCGCGACCUAGCCUGGAUCCUGCCGGGAAUGCAGACAGGGAGGUCAACAGGAGAUCAAGCCGGGUGCCUGGAGAGUGGCCAGUUUCUCCUGAUAAAGGCUUGAAUCCCAACACAAUGAAAACUAAUCAAUGAAUAGAAAGAAAAUCUACCCAUGUGAUGCUGAAACAAAACCUCACACAUACACUAUGUAGAAAAAUGAAAGUUUACUAUCCCCUUCUCUCCUUCCUUCCUUCCUUCCUUCUUUCUCUCUCUCCCUACCUCUUUCCUCCCCCAACGUUAUACGAUAUACAACAUUAAAACCUUGCAUCAAAUAUUUUUUAUUUUUUAAAAAAUAUUUUUUAUUAACCGGCCAAUCACAUCAAAUUAAAUCACAUCACAUAAAUUCCGAAUUACAAAGCCGAAUUUUGAAUUUUGUUGGGGGACCCAUAUUUCAAGAUCCGAAGGGGGAUUCUGAUCAUCUUCUUGCUACUGCGUUAAUGUCCAAAUCAGUCCAAAUCAGUCCAAACAGAGUUCAUAAUUCUAUCCAGUCUUAUCUUGCUGUUUCCACAUCACAUCUUGUUCAUAUAUUUUCUCUUUUUUCUUUAUGAUCUCUUCUGAUAGUCUCCUUAAGCCGAUAAACACCAAUAAUAAUAAUCCUGUGUGAAUUUUUCCGUUCUUCCAAUCCUCAAAUCGAGAUGGUUUCCAUAUAUCAUCGCCUUCAUAGAUAACAUCGCUCUUUCCAUCAUUAAUUACAGAACUGUCGCUCUUAAGUCCCUCUGAGGAGUUUCACCCACAAUAUAAAAACAGCUCUAUUUCUCUAUUUCUCCUCUCAGACUUAAGUCCACCGACAGAACUUCCCAAUAUGGCGACGGCUUUUUUAACUGCGUCAUUCCAAAGCCCUUAUACAUUCCACGCUCUUCUUAAAACAUGCUUUGGUUCGAAAGUUUAUCUCCACACAGCCUUAAAUCCACAGCUUAAGUCCUUAAAACGACAUUUCUGACUUGUGGGGGGGGGGAUUCUUGUUUAAUCACAUAAGGAAAGAAAGGAAAGUUUUCCCCCCUCCCCCAUCAGUCAUUUGCCAUACCGAGUCUUGGCGUAUCUUCUCAUAAUCUAUGCUUGUCCCUCCGACUCGUCUUGUUUUAUCAGAGAUCUCUUCUGUUAGCAGUCUUUGCUCCCCCUCCUUCCUUGAAAUAUGUGCAUUCCUUCAUCCAAAUUGUUUCUUUUGAAGUUCUUGCAGCUAGUGGCGCGGAUCAGGGAUGGCGUCCCCGAGUGCCGGAAUCCCACAGGACGGCUUUGUGCCUAGUGCCCCCAUCCCCACAAAUUCGGGGGUGGUAUAGGGCACAGCAGGCAAGGGCACCCAUGUGAUGCUGAAACAAAACCUCACACAUACACUAUGUAGAAAAAUGAAAGUUUACUAUCUCCUUCUUUCCUUCCUUUUUCUCUCUCUCACUACCUCUUUUCUCCCCCAACCUUAUACAAUAUACAACAUUAAAACCUUACAUCAAAUAUAACUGAUCUAUAGAAAGGACUUUAUGAUAUGAAAAUAGAGACAAUGUAUGGUCUUUUGUAACCCAAGAAAAUCUUUAAUAAAAACAAUAAAUAAAUAAAUAAAAUAUUCCAUGAGGGGAGGGUCAAUAAUAAUAUAAUGAAUGUAUCUAGUAGUACCACUAUCACAAUGAAUACAGUAUAAAAGAAAAAAAAUGAAAUUGCCAUCAAUAAAUAGCACACACAAAAACAACAACCGAUGACAAACAAGUUGCUUCGGCCAACCUUUUUUAAAUUUAUGUAUUUAUUUGUACACUGCUUGAUUUAAAAAACAAACUUUGAUUUGGUUGCAACAUGAUGCAACAACAAUAACAAAACUGAUCCCCACCCAACUGGUUCAUGGGCUCUCAGGUGGGCAAAAGGAAAUGUUGGCAUGAUGGGAUGCAGGUAAAUGGUGAAGCAGGCUGCACGAUGGUGGUCAGAAGGUUGGAAGCCGCCUUACGCUGAGCCAGAUUCUUGGUUCACCUAGUUCAUCCAGCUUCUCACUGACAGGCAAUGGCUCUCCCAGAUACCAUACUGGGUUCCCCUCCCAGACCUGAAGCGAAUCACCAGAAGCAUUGGGAAAGAAGCUGCUCUGCCACAGAAAAAAUUGGUGGACCUUCCCCACUCCCCACACUCACGUAGUUGCUAGGAAGGAGAACAAUAGACAGAGUUGUGCCGGAAGCCAAAUACAUAGUUACAUGCUUGCUCUGUACUGGAUUCAUACCUGUGACCAGUACAGUGGACGCUCGGGUUGUGAACGUGAUCGUGCCUUGCGCAGGCGCAUAAGCGCCGAAUCACAAUCCGCACGUGUGCAGACACGCCGCUCCGGGUUGCGAACGCUGCAGGUUGCGAACAUGCAUCCCACACAAAUCACGUUCGCAACCCAAGCGUCCACUGUACAAUAUUUGAAAUAAAAAACAAAACCACACAAUAAUUAUUGACUCUCCUUCCAUGGUGCAUUUUAUUACAUUCUUUUUCAACUCCAUAUUCUGAUUUCUUCCUAUAUCUUAUUUUUCACCAUCUUUAUAUCUCAAUAUUUUUUUAAACUGCCAAAUUUAUUCCAUUACUGUUAACUUUUUAAUAUGUUUACAGUAUGUCUCCAGAUAAUCUAUAAGCAUUUUCAAUCUUUCUCAAAUAGUUUUUUUUAAUCCAGAUCUCUUAUUCUAUUUAUCAGUCUUGCCAUUUCUAUUUAUUCUAUUAACAUCAUCUGCCAUUCUUUCCUUGGCGUUGUAUCUUUUUUCCACUUCUGAGAUUAGGUCUAAUUUGAUCCAAGUGGUUUGGAAUCAGGAUCUCUUAUGGACCACCUUGUGGUCUAGUAGUGGAAAACUUUCCCAACUAAUCCUGUCUCCUCCCACUCUACCCUACAUAGAAUCAUAGAUUUGUAUAAUCGGAAGGGACCCUGACCACCUUGUUUGUUACCCAGGUGAGGAACCUUUGGAAUAAAUCACAGAACCAAGGGAACUUCUUGGAUUUAGGGACCAAACAUUUAUUAUAGCUAUUGCAAUAGGACAGAGCUCACUCAACUCAACAUGCCAGUUGAGAAGGUCUGCCUCCAGGCACUUCAGAAGAAAAGCUCAUAUAGUAGUUCAAACAUAGCAAAUAAUCAUUAAAAAAUCUUCACAUAUGUCAGGAAAGGUUACAAGUCAUGAGAAGUAAAGCACACAUGGCUCCAUCCUGGUAUCUUCACCCCCCACAUCACCUUGGGGUGGUCCUCGUGUGACCAGGCCAUUGGACCAUUUGACGUCUUGGGUGUCUGGCAUUAUCCUGGCAACCUAGCCUUCAGUGAGGGAAGAGCAUGAUAAAAUCCUCUUCCUGGGUCUCAGAUAGCUUCAGGGAUAGCUGAGUUACACUCUGGUGCUAAAACAUCCUGCCAUUUGUACCACUUUCAGAGGUAGAUCAGGAGAGAGAAGAGAGCAGCAUAGGAGGUAGACUCACAAAUGCAGAAAACACAAAAAUCAAGCCGAAUACAUUCUAAAAGGUUCCAAAAUACAUUCUACAUGCAAAAUACAUGCAAAAAUAAAAAAUAAAAAAUGCUCUACCACUGAUUCUCUAAAAAGGGGUUUCUUUAGCAAGUUUUGUCAAGUGUCAGGCUAUGGGACACAGUGGCGAUUUCUCACAAACAUGUUUUUCCUCAAGUUCUGCACCUGUUCCUUGAUCAACCCAGGAGGUUGCAGGAGGAGAUGUUUAAUUAUGUAAUUAUAGUCUUCUGCAAAAUCUCCAGGGAUUUCUCCAUAAAGAUUGCCUUUGCAACUGGUAAUGUUAAGUCAGAACCAAGGCCAAAACAAAAAAAGUAAUUUCUCAAGAACUCAUCAGAGGUGCUCUGCUUCAAGGCCAAAGGCCAAUGUGAUCCAGCAUUUCCAUGCACUCUGGCACUUGUCAUGGUGUCCUGUUGCAUCAGAAGCAGUUUAGUCAUGCUGGCCACAUGACCAAGAAAACUGUCUGUGAAUAAACACCGGCUCCCUCAGUCUGAAAGCAGAGAUGAGCACAGCACCCCAGGUCAAAUUUGACUGGACUUAACCAUCCAGGGGUCCUUUACCUUUACCUUGACCUGCAGUUUCCGAACCAUCCUCAAAGGCACUCCAACAUAUAACUCAUUGCAGUAGUCCAACCAAGAACAGAAGUUGGGCUAUUGCAGUUGUGCUCUGGGGUCCUGCAAGGUUCUGCAUCAUUUGGUUGAAGAAGUUAUCUGUUCUUGCACGAGGUGGUGGGGAGGUUGUGUCUCCUUUUUUGUCUGGUUUUUUAUUUUGUUGUGCUUAUUUUGCCUUUGUGGGCGAACAUUGCCAGUUUUUCCUCCAUGAAAUUGCUAUUUUGUGGUGCCCACAACAGUGUCUUACUUUUCCAAAUGUGCACACAACCAAGCCCAAAAAUUUUGGUGGACCCCAAGCGCCAGGCAAGACUACUUGUUUUCUCUUCACUUUGCUAUGAAACAUUCACAUCCCACUUCUCUCUCAGUGGAAAACUGUUCAAAAGAUGUUCAAGGCUAGCUAGAUAAAUCUUGAUUUUGACUCACAUGAAGGUAUAGCAGAGCUAAGGUAGAGAACUCUAGAAAGGGCGGGGAAUUACUGAGGCUCACCAGUCACAAAAUGGCACUGCAGGGGUGAAGCCAGUGACAAAAAAGAAUUCCUAAAAUGCUCAACCAAUAGUACAGUAAUAAUAAUAAGAAAUACUACUCCAUCCCACUAAAAGUUCAGCACCAUGGUCAAGGCCAGCUUAUCUGAAGGAGCGUCUCCACUCCUAUCGUUCUACCCGGACACUGAGGUCCAGCACCGAGGGCCUUCUGGCGGUUCCCUCACUGCGAGAAGCCAAGUUACAGGGAACCAGGCAGAGGGCCUUCUCAGUAGUGGCGCCCUCCCUGUGGAACGCCCUCCCACCAGAUGUCAAAGAGAACAACAACUACCAGACUUUUAGAAGACAUCUGAAGGCAGCCCUGUUUAGGGAAGCUUUCAAUGUUUGAUGUAUUACAGUAUUUUAAUAUUUUUUUGGAAGCCGCCCAGAGUGGCUGGGGAAGCCCAGCCAGAUGGGCGGAGUAUAAAUAAUAAAUUAUUAUUAUUAUUAUACCAAAGGCAUGUAUAGAUGGAAGUGUCUUAGCCGGCCAUCUAAAAUGAAGAAUGAUGGCACCAAGCAUAUUUCUGGGGGGUAGUAUUCCACAGCUUAGCUCCAGAAACAGUCAUCCUUCCGGACUUUCAUGUAGGGGCCAAAUCAAAGGGCUGAAACUUAAUGAGGUCUGCUAGUGACAAAAUGGCAGGUCCGCCGGAUGAGCCAGUGACAAAACUGUGGCAGAUGGAGGCAGAGUUUGGCAUAAUCAAGCAGCAAUUAAUGACUCAGGAACCAGUAUUGUGACUCAGCCUCCCCAAGUUAAGCAGAAUCUCUGCAUUCAAAAGCACUAAGUGGAAAAGGCUUUUUGUUUCAUAUCACCCGGCAUGCCUCACAUUUUACUUGUCAUCUCUUGUUUCUUCUUCCCUAUUCUUUUCACAGCUUGUAUAAUAUACCUCCAAAAAUGAAGGGAAAAUGUGUGUGCGUCCUAUGGGGCGAAUCCAGGCUUUCGCUGAAGCCUGGAAAGCGAGAGGGGUCAGUGCGCACCAACCCCUCUCGCUCUCCAGGCUUCAGGAAGCUAUCCGCAAGCCGGGGGAGCCCACGGGAGUUCCCCCCGGGCUCCCCCGGCUUGCGCAGAGCUCCCUCUUAUUCCGAAGCCCCGGCGUGCUGAGCAGUCGCACCGGGGUUUCGGGUAGUUCUGCGCAAGCCACAGGAGGGCUCCCACGGCUUGUGGAGAGCAGUCUGUUCUGGGGGCUGGGGUCGGGGGAAGCUCGGGCUUCCCCCGCCCCAGCCUCACGCCUUGGGGGGGAAAAUAAUUUUUUUUUCUUUAUUCCCCCCCAAAAAAAACUAGGCGCGCCUUAUGGGCCGGUGCGCCCUAUGGAGCGAAAAAUACAGUACCUCCAAAAACUGUCAUCUUUCUUCCCUGCUCAUUUUAUAUUCACUUUUUCUUCGUUUCCCCCUCUCUUAUUCCUUUACUCUUUCCCCCCAGGUUGUUGUAAUUCUAGAUAUUAACCCUUUAUCACGCGCCCUAAUUUCCCACAACACAUCCUCUUGCCUUUUCCCUCAGACCAUAGAGAUCUCCUUUCCUUCUUUAAACCCUUGCCCUCUUUCAGCCUCUCUGUCUCCUGGACACCUUUAUGCCCCUUUAAACUGUCAGUAAUGCCCUUGGUCCAACCAAAGAGCUAUGUGUGGCCCAGGGGCAGGAUGGGUGAGUUAGGAGGCACUGGGUGGGCUGUGGCACUGAGGCCCACUGCUGGACCAUGGCCCAGUCUUUCAGAAGUGCUGGGAAAGGUCAUGCCAGCCUCCCGUGCCCCUCUCUGGCCCAUGUCACAAGUAGAACCACAAUGCAGUGGGAAGUUCUUCAGAUAUCUAAAGGGUCGUCACAUGGAAGAUGAAGCAAGGUUGUUUGCUUCUGCUCUGGAGGGUUGGACCUGAAAUAGUGGAUCAAGUGACAAGAAAAGAGAUUCAGACUAAACUUUAGGAAGAACUUUCUGACAGCUGCUCAACAAUGUAAAUCUCCUUCAGGGUCCCUUAUCAUACUGCAAUUCUAUAGCUCUAUGAUUCGAUGGAACAUGUAUUCCUUCAGGUCUACACCUGGCGCCAUAAAGGGAGUUCAACAUGGUGUGAAGGCAAACGUAAUUAUUAAAAAUAAUGGUGAUUUCUUUCUCAUCAUCUUGCCAAAGCUCAAGAGGAAUAAAAUCAUAUUUGCGUCCAGCAUUGAACAACAACAUGAUGUAACUUCAUCAAACUCAACCAGAAGAGACUGGUACAUAAAUACUUCUCCACUGUGCCACUGAGGGUGGGGUGGGGUUAUGCUGCCCAUAUGGGGCUGAAGUGAAUCCUCUUUGGCUCUCAAGCCAUGUAUGCUAGGCAUGUUCUCUCUGAUUAAGUUGCUGCAGCCUGGGUCUUCCAAGCAGAUUUUGACUGCUGGUAAUUUGCUAGCUCUGUUGCUGAUAGCACUCAAGAAGGAGUAAAAGGCAGGCACAUAGUAAGUCACCUUCUGCUGUUGCUAUUGUUACUACCUGAAGCAACACCAGAGAUGCUGAACUCAAAAUGCCCAUUGACUUUGAUAAGGGAUCCCAAUGCACCCUUGAAUUGGUACAGGCGAGGAGACUACCAUAUUAGUGGGGUCAUAUCCGCUACACCUGUUGGGUUCAAUCCAAGCGUCUUCAAUGAGCCUCCCUCAACCAGAGUUAAUGGGUAAGUCCUUAUGUGCCUACUGUUGUAAAAGCUUUAUGCAAACUGAAUGUGACCUCAUGGAGACCAAAUGUUGUUGUCUGCUAGGCACGUAUCCUCAUUUCUGGUACCUUUGCUUGGUCAAUUAUGUCUUCUAUUUUCGUCCCUUUGGAGGGAAAUGGUAGGAUUCGUUCUGAAUGUCAGAAAGUUAUCUACUGCAAACUGUGUGCUUUCACCCACACUAGUGAGACCUUUGCUUUAGAAUAGCCCACUCUUCUAAGAUUUGGACAGGAAGCGGUUGAUGGAUCUCAGGUGUACAGAUGCUGCAGAAGCAUCUCAUGAUUUUUGCCCCCCAUCACAGGUAAGGAUGACACAAUCUGGUCUUUGUAUGGAAAAAAUAUCAAGAUGACACACACUUUUUUCCAGGUUUGGAAUGCGGGCCUAUUGGCAUAUCCUGUCCUUCUUGUUUGCCGUUCGGGAGGUCAAUGAGAACCACAUGCUUUUCCCCAACCUCACCCUGGGCUAUGACAUCUAUGACAACUUUUACGACGCCAGAAUGACUUCUGGUGCCCUGGUGGACCUGCUCUGUCCUGGGCAGCCAAACAUCCCAAACUAUUAUUGUGGACCAUGGAAUAAAGUAUUGGCCGUUAUUGAGGGGGCUGACUCUGACACAUCCAAAGAUAUUUCCACCAUGUCAAGCAUCUACAAAACCCCACAGGUAUGAAUGUCAGGAGGGAAGGAAAAAAUCCCAGAAUGUUAUUGCAAUUUCUUUGGAGAGAUGUGAAAAUGUCAUUCCUGCUUCUAAGGCAGAAGGAGAGAUUGGCCUCAAUCCCCUCUUAACAAAGAUGACUAAGGAGAUUCUGGGUUUGUCCACACUUCCUCCCAUCCCAUGGCUAGAAAGCAUGGGUCUGAGUGGCUUUCCAUUUCCCUUGUGCUUUGUAGGCAUGGGUCCAAGCCAUUUCUCCCUUACCCUGCUCCUUUCCCAGGAAAGCCCUGUGUUUUAUGGCGAUGGAUCUUUGAGGAAAUUGUCAAAAUUAAGGCAGAAGAAUGGAAUAAGUAAUGAAAGCUAGUGGCAUGUGAGAUGCAAAUGAACAAAUAUGCAAAAGGAAACAUUAAAGAAACAAAAGGCAAAAUACAAAAAAAAGUGCAGGACAAGGCAAUGGAAUGUCAUCCUUUGAAACAAACUAUGUGAGCUCAGGCUAAGCAAGCCUUAGACAAACCUGUAAAAGUAAGAGCAAUUUACAGUAAAGGAAAAGCUUGAGACUUACAUUCCUAAUGUGGUCCUGCUUAUUAUUUACAUAUUCAUAUGCUACCUUGACUCAUGAAAGAUAAUUAGUUUCAUGGAAAAUAACUGGAUCACUUAGCUUUAAUGGCUUCUCUAUGCUUCCCCUCUAUGGUCCUCUUUAAUCAAACAUAGAAGACAUGGCAACUCUUAGAAUCACAGAAUGAUAGAAUAUUAGAGUUGGAAGAAACCCAAGGGUCAUCAAGUCCAACCCCCUGCAAUGCAGGAAUCUCAACUAAAGCAUCCAUGACAGAUGGCCAUCCAACCCCUCCCUAAAAAACUCUGAGGAAGGAGAGUCCACAACCUCCGAGAGAGACCGUUCCACUGUCAAACAGUGCUUACAGUCAAAAAGUUUUUCCGUCAUGUUUUAUUGGAGUCUCUUUUCCUUCAACUUGAAGCCAUUGGUUUGAGUCCUACCCUCCAGAGCAGGAGAAAACAAACAUGUUCCCUCUUCUAUGUGACAGCCCUUAAGAUAUUUGAAUACAGCUAUCAUAUCUCCUCUCAGUCUCCUCUUUUCCAGGCUAAACACACCCAGCUCCUUCAACCAUUCCUCAUAAGGCUUGACUCCUAGACCCUUGAUCAUCCUAGUUGAACCUCUUCUGCCCAUGUUCCAGCUUGUCAACAUGCUUCUUAAACUGUGGUGCCCAGAACUGGACACAGUAUUCCUGGUGUGGUCUGACCAAGGCAGAAUAGAGUGGUACUAUUAUUUCCCUUGAUCUGGACACUAUGCAACAUAUGAACAGAUAGCUUAUAGACUUCGACUGUUUAUGGACAUACCAGUAUAUUAAGAUGUUUGGAAAGGAUUCAUAAAAAGAUAGUAUGUUAUAAACAAUAUCAUAUAUAUUAGAAUCAUCAUUUAUAUACCACUGUAUUAUAUAUGCAUGUAUAGAAUUAUAGUUUUCCACUUGUUUUUAUGAACCCCUUUUUUCUUUUUACUUUGUUUAACUGAAAUAUUUUCAAUAAGAAAUAAAAUUUUAAAAGUAAGAAAAAAAAUCUUUUUAAAAAGCAGCCACUCCCUAUAUCACAUUUUGCCUCUGCGUCCUUCACAAUUGGUAUUUGUGUUGUGAUUGGAUUGUUUUUUUAAAAAAAACAUCAUUUCUGAAGGCGAGGUUUUGAAGAGUACAGGGCGGAGAGCAAUUCUUAAACAUCUUCACAAAUUUUGGCAUCCAGGAGUGUUGUUUUAAGUUUUUCUGUCUGGCCACACACCCUGGAAUGAUCUAUUCUUGUAAUAUGCUUUCAGUCUUUUUUCCCCAAAAUUUUUUAUUGAUUUUCCAAAUUUAUAAAUAAACAAACACACACACAUAAAUCCUAACUGUAAUUAUUCCACUAUUAUUAACAUUGUUAGGUGACUUCCUCAAAUCCCCUGGCUGAAUUUCAAUGUAUAUCAUUGUAACAGUUUUCCAAAACUAAUUUCUCAUAAAAUUUACUUAGUCAAUUAACUUCUUUCUUACUUUUCAUAUAAACUUUAAACAUAUUAUUAUAUAAAAUCACAUAUUUAAAUCCUAAGCCAAUUUGGUAUUUGCAAGAAUUUCUAUUUAAAUUAUCUCAGCAUAUUUAACUAAAUAUUCUUUAAAUUUCAUCCAUUCUUCCUGGUACUCCUCCUCCUUCUGGUCGCGGACUCUUCCGGUCAGGUCGGCUAGCUCCCAAAAGUCCAUCAUCUUCAUCUGCCAUUCCUCCACUAUUGGCACUACUUGUGUUUUCCAAUUCUUGGCUAACAAAAUCCUUGCAGCAGUUGUGGCAUACAUAAACAAUCUAACAUCUUUCUUGGGCAAUUCCGGACCUAUUAUUCCAAGAAGAAAGGCCUCUGGUUUCUUAAUAAAUGUAUAUUUCAACAUUUUUUUCCAAUUCAUUAUAAAUCUUCUCUCAGAAGUCUUUCAGCUUGGGGCAGGUCCACCACAUAUGAUAAAAGGUACCUUCUUUUCCUUUACAUUUCCAACGUAGAUUAUCAGUAUUGUGUUUUACAGGAGUUAAGUACCACCUACACAUCAUUUUCAUAAUAUUUUCCUUUAACACCGAACAUGCAGUGAACCUAACCCCUUUCCUGCACAACCUUUCCCAGUCUUCAAACAUUAUGUUAUGUCCAACAUCUCUUGCCCAAUCUAUCAUCACAGAUUUAACUUGUUUGUCCUUUGUAUGCCACUCCAACAAUAGAUUAUACAUUUUAGAUAAAUUUUUAACUUUAGAAUCUAACAACUCCGUUUCCAACUUGGUUUUUUCUGAUGCAAAACCAUUUUUCUUAUCUAAUUUAUACAAUUCAUUGAUCUGAUGGUAAUGUAACCAAUUUAUUUUAUCUUUAAUUUGAUCAAAUGGUUUUAAUUUAAAUCCUUCUUUUUCUUCCAGUAAUAGAUCUGAAUAUCUCAACCAAUUAGUUUCCAUAUUUAACUUUUUCUGGGCCUUUGCUUCCAUUGGCGAAAGCCAUCUGGGUGUUUUCCUUCCUAAAAGAUCUUUGUAUUUUAUCCAAACAUUAUAUAAGGGUUUUCUAACUCCAUGAUUUUUAAAACCAUUAUGGGCCUUUGUCUUGUCAUACCAUAGAUAAGCAUGCCAUCCAAACACAUUGUCAGAUCCCUCCAAAUCUAAAACAUCCACGUUAUCUAGUUGUAUCCAUUCCUUAACCCAACAGAGAGCUGCGGCUUCAAAGUAAAUCCUCAAAUCUGGCAGGGAAAAUCCUCCUCUUUCUUUAGAAUCUGUUAGUAAUUUAUAUUUAAUUCUGGGUUUUUUCCCCUGCCAGAUAAAUCUAGACAAAACUUUCUGCCAUUCUUUAAAACAUUUCACGUUGUCAAUAAUUGGGAGGGCUUGAAACAAAAACAACAUCUUUGGCAAUACAUUCAUCUUAACUACCGAGAUCCGACCCAUUAAUGAUAAUUUUAAAUUUGACCAACUCUCAAGAUCUCUCUUAAUUUCAUUCCAUAAUUUCUCAUAGUUGUCUUUAUAUAAAUUCAAUUUUUUCACUGACAAAUUAACCCCCAUAUAUUUUACUUUUUCCACAAAGACUAGGCCCAUCUUUUCUUGUAAUAAUUUCCUUUCCUCAUUGUCCAAAUUUUUCUCUAGCACUUUGGUUUGGCUCUUAUUUAACUUAAAUCCUGCUACCUGUCCAAACUCCUGUAUCAUCUCCAGUGCUUUUACUGCACUGGAGUCUGGGUCUUGAAGUGUCAGUGCCAAAUAAUCAGCAAAGGCUUUUAAUUUAUAUUGUUUUGAUCCUACUGAUAUACCUUUAAUUUGUUCAUCUUUCCUUAUCAUGCUUAACAAGACCUCGAGAACUGAAAUAAAAAGCAGAGGGGAAAGUGGGCACCCUUGCCUGGUACCCUUCUCAAUUCUUAUUUCCUCCGAUACCACAUUAUUUACUAUAAUUUUAGCUUUUUUGUUCACGAUAGAUCACAUUAAUACCAUUGAAAAAUUCCUGACCAACCCCAAUGCUUUCUAAAUUUUGUCUCAUAAAACUCCAAGAUACAUUGUCAAAGGCCUUCUCCGCAUCAAUAAACAUUAACAUUGCUUUACAAUUUUUUCUUGCUUCCAAUUUUUCCAAAAUAUCUACUAGAUUCCUAAUAUUAUCUUUCAUGUGUCUUCCAGGCAGAAAACCUGCCUGGUCCUUAUGAAUAUAUUCUGACAAGACCUACUUCAGCCUAUUGGCCAAUAUAUUGGCAAAAAAAUUGUAAUCCACAUUGAGUAAGGAGACUGGUCUAUAAUUUUUAACAUUAGAUCUAUCUUGAUCUUGUUUUGGAAUCAGAGUAAUGUAAGCUUCCUUCCAGGUUUCGGGUGCUUUGUCCCCUCCUAUAAUCUUGUUGCAAACUUCUAACAAUGGCUGAAUGAGCCAGUCUUUCAGGAUCUUAUAAUAUUUUGCUGACAAACCAUCUGGUUCCGGGGCCUUGCCAAGUUGCAUUGAAUUUAUUGCAUUUUCAACCUCCCGUCUUGUAAUUAAUCCAUUUAGUAGGAUCCUUUUACCUUCGGGAAUCUUCUGCAAACCAUUAGUUCUAAUAAAUUGCUCAAUUUUAACUUUAUCUUCUUUACUCUUUUUAUACAGUUGUUUGUAAUAUUUCUGAAAGCAUUUUCUUAUGUCCACAGGGUUCUCUACAGACUUUCCAUCUGAUACAAUAUUUGUAAUAGUACUUUGUUUUUGCCUCUUUUUUAAUUGCUGAGCUAAAAGUUUCCCACAUUUAUUUGCAGAUUCAAAGUUCCUUUGUCUCAUCAUUCUUAAUGCCCAUUCUAUUUAUUGAUUGAUAAUCUGUGAAUAAUGAGUCUGUAAAGCUUUAAUUUCCUUUUGUACCUGCAAAUUCUUUGGAUUGCCUCUAAGGAUCUUCUCUUCAUCUUUUAGUUGGUCCAAAAUUUUAUCUUUCUUUUCAUUCUGUAUCUUUCUCCUAAUUGAAUUUUGUUGAAUGGGGAACCCUCUCAUUACAGCUUUACUGGGGUCCCAAAUAACCCUUGUUUCCAUGCCCUGGUUCAUAUUAAUCUCAAAAUAGUCCUUUAAGGCUUUUUGGGCCUUAUUUACAAUUUGCUCACUCCUCAGCAAGUCAUCAUUCAUUCUCCAUCUGAAAGAUCCCUGUAUAGACAAUUUCACUUCCAUAAAUACUGCAUUAUGAUCUGAGCAAGUUUUAGGGCAAAUUUCUGUUUUUGUUACUCUGGGAACCAAGUCUCUGGAUAGCCAUAAAUAAUCAUUUUCUCAAAAAUGAUUGAUUUGCAUCUGAAUAGAAUGUGAAGUCUUUUUCAGUUGGAUUUCUGACUCUCCAUAUAUCUGAAAGGUCAAAUUUAUGAGUUAUAUUAAAAAAAGUCUUAGGUAGUCUGCCAGCAUUCAAUAUUUUUUGUGUCUGAGUUCUAUCCAUUAAAGUGGAUGCCACUCCAUUCAGAUCUCCCAUUAAGAUUAAUUUAUAAUCCAAGUGUUCCAAGAGGCUUGUUUCCAGUUUUUUUAAAAAAUCUGCCUUACCAUCAUUGGGUGCAUAGAUUCCCAAUAGCAAGUACUUUUCGCCUUGUGCUGUAAUUUCCACUGCUAUGUAUCUUCCUGCCUCAUCUUUAAAAAUCAAUUUUGGAUUCCAUUUUUCUUUAACGUAGAAAACCACUCUUUUUUUUUACUGUCUGAAGAAAUAAAUUCUUGACCAAGUUUCUUAUUCAAUAAGAUUUUUCUAUGUAGUCUUGUAAUGAGUGUUUCCUGUAAACAAAUUACAUCCAAAUUCUGUUUUGCCAAAACAUGAUGAACCUUCCUCCUUUUCUGAAGGGAAUUUAAACCAUUCACGUUCCAAGAAUAAAUUCUUAAAGCCAUCGUGAUAAGUUACGGGGUCGCUGCUCCCACCCCUUGAAGCUGUGGGCUUUCCAAUCCAAGUUUGACUCUUUCUCUCCAACAAUCUUAAUUCUUUGUUUUCUUCCUUCAAAUUUGAAGGAAAGGCCCUCUGGGAAUUCCCACCUGAAGAAAAUAUUUUCCCUCCUCAGAAUGGUGGUCAGGUCUGUAUAGUUGGAUCUCAAGCUCAAAAAGUGUUAAUGGAUCUCUUUGAAAAGGAUGAUGGCUUUAUCCUGUAUUUUUAAACCUUUUUUAUAAUGCAGGCCCAAAAUGGUAUCUCUUUGUUCUUUAGUCUUAAAGACCACUAUGCAGUCAUAGGUGAUUUUUGAAUCUUUUUUGGGACCAAAUCUGUAGGCCUUUUCUAUCCAAGAGUCAACUUCGUCUUUUUUCAAAUCCCACCACACCACCCGUUGAUCUAUCAUCCACUCCCUGAGCCGAUCCUCUUCCUGUUGAGGCACACCUCUCAAUCUUAAAUGAGAUUCCUGUUCCUCAUCUGAAGAAAUGCAAUCAAAUUUGAAUAUUCAUACUGUAAUCUUUCUAGAUCAAUCACUCUAACUGUCUCAAGCUGUGUCAAUCUUGUCUCAUGGAUUGUGACCUCAGUCUUCACCUCUUUCAGCUCCACUUUCAAGUCUUCAAAAAUUUUAUUCAAUUUUUCAAUACCCUGUGAAUUGUGUUUUAUAUCAUCUUUAAUUUCUGACAACAGUUGCAUCACAUUAUCCUCAAAAGCUGUACUUCUAGAGCCUCGUCUUACUGCUCCCUUAUCUGCUUUGUCCACACUCAUAGUUGCUCAGGAAUUUCAAGGUCAAAUAUAUGCUUUCAUUUAUUUUUUUUAAAUAAUAUUUAUUAAAAGUUUAAGAAUUACAGAAAGAAGUAAAAAAGAAAGAGAAAAAGUAAACAAUACAAAUCAAUACAUUACAGUACAUAUAAAAAACCAAAAGACACAAUACAUCAAAACAAAAACAAAAGCAAAAACAAUUAAAAACACAUCCAAUAUUUCCAUAUCUUUAUCUUUCAUUAACUUGUUUCAUCGACCUCCUCACACCUCCCUUUUUUGUAUUCUAGUUAUUAAUUAUUUCAACAAAUCCUUUCCAUCUUUCACUGUUUUCUGUCAUUUAAUUGUCUUAAUUUAUUUUGACCUUAUCUUACCAUUAAAACCCUAAAACUUAUUUAUACUUAACUCCUUAUAACAUUUCUACUAAAGCCGUAUAAUUUCAUUCCAACAUUUUUCUAACACUCAUUAAUUUUACAAUAUUUCUCUAAAUAAAUUUUUAAACUUUUUUUUUCCAAUCUUCUUCCACCGUCUCUUCUCCCUGGUCUCGGAUUCUGUCAGUCCUUUCUAUCAAUUCCAUAUGGUCCAUCAACCUGGUGAUCUUCUGUCCGAGGCUCUUAACUCUUUUCCAUGUCCCUUCUGCAGAUCUUCUUCAUAUUUAUACAUGCACUUUACUUUAUCUUCUGCUGAUCUUGUUCUUAAUUUCCUUCCUUUGGCACUGAGGAGUAGAUCUCGGGGAAACUCCAACCUAACAAUGUCUUUAUUCCUUCUCGACAGGUCAGCCCAUUCUCCAUAGUCAGAACUAAAGUCCAAAAGAUAUUUCAGAGCGUGUUUCAAAAUCCCUCCAAAGCUAAAGGCCCCCACAACUCCAAUCUCCCCCUGACCCAAAUCCAGAUCCCAAAAGCCAGAACAUCCCUGCAUAAGGGGUCUAUCCAACUUUCCUUCUCCAAUCCAAGCGAGACUCCAUUCCUCCAAAUCUGGCUUUCUCUAGAUUCAAUCGUAAAAGGCAACAGCUUAUGUUCAUCAAAUUGCCUCUGUAAGGCCGGGGCUCUCUCCACUUGUAUUACUUGAGGUUCAACAACAACUUUCUCCUUCGUCUUCUCCACAGCUUGCCAUGUCAAAACAGAUUCCUGAAUCAAUUCCUGAGUAGUUUCUGUAUAGGUAUUCACUUUUUGUCCCAAAUCAGUCAAUUUGUCCCAAAUUGUCAAUUUUAAUAAUCAUCACAUCCGUCUUCUCAUGAAGCUGUUCCAAUAAAGCACUUGUCUUGCAAAAUGCAAUCACUAAGGCUUCUUCUGUCAACAUUCUUGUCCAAGGUCAAGCUCUGAUUCUCACGGUCUUUAAUCUCUGCAGCUGGAAAAUUCCCCAGCUCCACUCCUGCAACAGUUUCAAAAGCUCCCUCUAGGGAAACAAUUUCUAUUUGUAUCCAUCCUUUUAAACGCAGAUCCAGCAACAAAGUUAGUUUCGAUUUUCAGUUACUUUUGCUCCUUUUUAAGUGCAAAAGGAAACAAUGGAAACAAUAUAUUUCUCUUAUUUAACUAUCUGUCAACAUACGUUUUAUUCACAGUCAAUGAACUUUCCCAAAACGUCGAUCUUACUGGCAGCCCGUUCCCAGGUUCAAAACGGUGGUAAUUUAUCUUUCUUCACUUUCUCUCCUGCAGGCUUAGGCGAUCUAAAAUUUCCCCCCUCUUCUCCUGCUUCCAAGGGGGGUUUAGUAAUUUUAACCGAUGGAGAUUUACUCCUUUACAAAAGGCUUUCCAGACUUUAGCUUGCAAUGUCUUUACAAAAGAGGAAGGCGGACUUCCUGUUUGAAACCUUCCCGUUUCGGUGCCAAAUUAAGAUGUUUAAAGAUCCAAUUUUCCGUUCUACUCACGGGUAGUUGUUUAAAGUCCAAUUGUCCACAGGAAAAAGUCAGCGCUCUCUGGCAACAGCAAUGCGGCUUCAUUCCGUGAAAGAAGCAGUCGAUUCGAAGCACCGCGCCGCUCACCCCACGUCACUCCGGAUCCCCAAAACUGGGUUUCCCCGCGAGUAGGGGAGGCGCAAAAGGUGCCAGCCGAAUCCCACGUCCACAGGCUUCUCCCGCCUGUGGUUUUUAGUGGGUCUCCGCCUCGCCGUGGCGGUCCAGACCCUGAUUUCCACGGAGCGGAUUCCUCCCGAUCAGAGGAAAUCCGCCAUUGCCGGAGGUGCUAACCCGGAAGUCCCAAAUAUAUGCAUUCAGUCUUAAUCAGAACUCUAGCCACAUAAGAUUUUGCAUUUCAGGGGGUUGGACUUGAUGGCCCUUGUGGUCCCUUCCAAUUUGACGAUUCUGUGAUUCACUAGUAUUGUAUCUAGGAAGGUAAAAGGUAGAAGUAAAGGACCCCUGGAUUGUUAAGUCCAGUCAAAGGUGACUAUGGGGUGCAGCACUCAUCUCACUUUCAGGCUGAGGGGGCCGGCGUUUGUCCACAGCCAGCUUUCUGGGUCAUGUGGCCAGCAGGACUAAACCACUUCUGGCACAACGGAACACCAUUUCCAUGCACCUUCCCACUGCAGCAGUACCUAUUUUUCUACUUGCACUGGUAUGCUUUUGAACUGUUAGGUUGGCAAAAGCUGGGACAGAGCAAUAGCAGCUCGCUCCAUCAUGGGGAUUCAAACCGUUGACCUUCAGAUCAGAAAUCCCAAGAGAGUUAGUGGUUUAGACCACGAUGAAAUACAGGGAAUGCAGUAUAAAAAUGCAGAACCAACUAGAGGAGAAACAACUGGGAGGAGAACCCAAAUGAAUUCUAAUAUUCUAAUAUAAUAAUAAUAAUAUAAUAAUAAUUCUAAUAUUUAAAAAUGGAACAUAGAAAUAAGUCAGUAAAUAGUUAUGAUUUUGCAUUGUGCCAUCAUAAACACAAAAUGAAAUGUGUUGUUGUUGUCAAGCUAUAUUUAUUCUCCAAAGCUUGUACAUUUAUUUGGGAUAAAUCUGCACACAUUUCUCACUAAAGAAAUUGAGCUGAUGAUAUUAGGAGGAGGAUUAUAGUGUAUGCCACAAGGCAGGUUUCUUCUACUACAAAUACCUCAGCAAUCUAUUUAGACAUCUGUAGGGUUUAUAGCAACUAAUUUUAGAGCUUAAUUUUAUAUAGAAGAACUGAUGGCUAUUAUAGGUCUAAUGUGAGCUAAAAAUGUUCAUUGUAAUUUUGUGUGAGCUCUUUUCUUUUUAACAAAAUCUGUUCUUUCUUCUUAAAUGUGACACUUUAAUGAAGAAAUAAGGAUGAGAUCAUAUACAAUUAAAUAAAACUGCUACAAGAUACAUGUUCUAAAAGCAGUAAAAAAAUGCAAUCAGGGCAUAACAUAAAGCAAACACAAUCCAUUCCAAAGACUCUGUCACCGUUUUUUGAAAGCAAACAGCUAAAUACAGUGGUGCCCCGCAAUACGAAUGCCUCGCAAGACGAAAAACACGCUAGACGAAAGGGUUUUGCGGUUUUUGAGCUGCUUCGCAAGACGAAUUUCCCUAUGGGCUUGCUUCGCAAGACGAAAACGUCUUGCAAGUUUGUUUCCUUUUUCUUAAAACCGUUAAUAUCCAGGGUGCAUUGCUUGAAGAGGUGCAGUUGCGACUUGACUUCGAGGAGCAACUCAUAGCACGCGGUGUGGUAGCCUUUUUUGAGGUUUUUGAAGACUUUGCUGAUUUUUGAAGCUUUUCCAAAACUUCUUUUGCAGCCAUUUGGUAAGUUAAACUUUUAAAACUUUUUUGGGGGUUUUUGGAUUUUGGGUUGGGGUGUUUGGAAUUCAAGGACUUGGUGUUAGGGAGGGGUUUGCAAGAAUCUGGAAGCUUGUGUGUUUUUUUUCUGCAUUUUAAUGAUUUUUUGUGACCAUUGGGCCACUCUGCUGUUUUUUUUAAAAAAAAUUCUGGGUUUGAAUUUCUGUGUGGUGGGUGGCUGGGGGAACAGUUGAGGAGGGGUUUGCAAGAAUCUGGAAGCUUGUGUGUUUUUUUCUGCAUUUUUAUGAUUUUUUGUGACCAUUGGGCCAUGUUGUUUUUUUAAAAAAAAAAUUCUGGAUUUGAAUUUCUGUGUGGUGGGUGGCUGGGGAAACAGUUGAGGAGGGGUUUGCAAGUAUCUGGAAGCUUGUGUGGUUUUUUCUGCAUUUUUAUGAUUUUCUGUGACCAUUGGGCCAUGUUGUUUUUUUAAAAAAAAAAUCUGGGUUUGAAUUUCUGUGUGGUGGCUGGCUGGGGGAAUGGUUGGGGAGGGGUUUGCAACAGUUGGGGAGGGGUUUGCAACAGUUGGGGAGGGGCUGGGGGAACAGUUGGGGAGGGGUUUGCAACAGUUGGGGAGGGGUUUGCAAUUUCUGUGUGGUGGGUGGGUGGCUGGGGGAACAGUUGAGGUUUUUGAAGACUUUGGUGAUUUUUGAAGCUUUUCCAAAACUUCUUUUGCAGCCAUUUGAGGUUUUAGAAGACUUUGGUGAUUUUUGAAGCUUUUCCAAAACUUCUUUUGCAGCCAUUUGGUAAGUUAAACUUUUAAAACUUUGUUGGGGGUUUUUGGAUUUUGGGUUGGGUGUUUGGAAUUCUAGGACUUGGUUCUGGGUUUGAAUUUCUGUGUGGUGUGGUGGGUGGCUGGGUGCUUUUGAAUUUUUUGGAUGUGAAGCACUGAUUCUUUUUUUUUUUUUGAGUUUGCGAAGGUAGGAGCUGUGCUGCCAUGGGACCCAAGAAGACUGCUGCUGCAGAGGCUGGCAAGAGGAAGAAGGAGAAGGUGACGCUGGAAAUGAAGAAGGAGAUCAUCCGGAAGCACGACGGUGGAAUGCGUGUGACAGACCUCGCCAGGGAGUACGGGAGGAAUCCAUCGACCAUCGGGACCAUCCUGAAGAUGAGGGAGAAGAUCCUUGCGACUGAUGCAGCCAAGGGAGUCACCAGGAUCGUGAAGAACCGCCCAGCUGUUCUGGAGGAGGUCGAGAAGUUGCUGCUCAUCUGGUUAGAAGAGAAGCAGCGUGCAGGGGACACAGUGACUGAGGCCGUCAUUUGUGAGAAGGCCAAGGCCUUGCACGCAGACCUCAUCCGGGAACAGCCAGGAACCUCAGGCGAGCCAGAAGUCUUCAAGGCAAGCAGAGGCUGGUUUGACCGGUUCAAGACGAGAUCUGGAAUCCACAGCGUGGUCAGGCAUGGAAAGGCUGCCAGUUCUGAUGUUCCUGCGGCUGAAGACUUUGCAGCGGAGUUCCUGGAGGUUGUGUCCUCUCCAAAGAACUGAGGGACAUUUGCCAGAAGUGGAAAGAUGUGCAGGCUUUUGCACAGCGGCACCACCCUGACAAGGACCUGACACGUGACCUUGCGAACACUUUUGAUACGAGGGUCAUGUCGUCUUUCAGGGAGGUGCUGAAAAGGCGGAUGAAGCAGCAGACCAUGGACAGGUUCUUCAGCAAGAAGCAAAGGGUGGAAGAGGAACCUUCUUCGAGUUGUCCCCCAGAGUCUUAGAAAAUGUACUGUACACUUUGUUGAUUUUUAAAUGUUUUUCUGUCAUGUUUAGAAACUUAAUUUAUUGUUCCUUCAAUUUUUGAAAUGCUCUUUACAGUAUGUGUGACUUUAAAGAGCAGUUAAUAAACUCUUGUUGUAACAAAUUUGGCUUUGUUUGGACUUCUUUGACCAUAGGAACGCAUUAAUUGAUUUUCAAUGCAUUCCUAUGGGAUUUCGUGCUUCGCUAGACGAAAAAACUCGCGGAACGAAUUAAUUUCGUCUUGCAAGGCACCACUGUAUGGGGUGUUGUUAAGCUCCCUGGAGUAAAGCUUCUUAGCUCCCAUGAAACUGUGUCUUUUCUCUGUUUUCCAUGUCAGAGAAAAGUUAUCAUUCAGGCAAGUACAAAGUACUACAUUUGGGAUUUUGUUGGGGGUGACAACACUAAUCUCUUCUCUUCUUUACUAGGUCAGUUAUGGUUUUGUUUCUGACACUCUUAAUGACAAAACUCAGUUCCCUUUUAUCUACCGAAUGGUCCCCAAAGAGGAACAUCAGUAUCUGGGGAUAGUCCAACUUCUCCUGCACUUCAACUGGACUUGGAUUGGCCUCGUUGCUCCAGACACCAACAAUGGAGAGAGGUUCAUGAGGACCUUGAAGCCCCUGCUAACCAGGAACACAAUUUGUGCUGCCUUCUCACUUAGCACCUCAGUACUGGAUACGAGAAUAACAGUGCCUCUCAAAACAUUUUUCAGGUGGAACGAAGUCAAUGUAUUAGUCUACUAUGGGGAGAAUCAUUACUUCUUUAGUAUAAUACGUUAUUUGCAAAAAGUGGUUGAAAAGCAUAUAAGACCCAUUGUGGGGAAAGUCUGGAUCACAACAGCUUUGUGGGAUCUCACCUUGAAUUUGUCUUAUGAUCUGCUUUCUCCCCUGCACAUCCAUGGGUUUUUCUCUUUCUUAACUCGUAUUAAAAGAAGGCCAAACUAUGAUAAUUAUGAAACAUUUUACUAUCCUAUGUGGAAGUUUGGGGAGAAAUCAUUUAAGUGUUCAUAUUCAAAGCACAUCUUGUCUGUAAAAGGAAGGAGAAGGUGCAGGGAAGAUGACACUCUGGAGUCCCUGCGUGAUGAAGUGGUUGAGAAAAUCCUGUCUCUGGAUAGUUACAGUAUUUACAAUCUUGUCCUUGCUCUGGCAGGCGCCUUAAGGGCUGCGCUUUCCUCCAAAUCCAAUCAGAUGGUGGCGAAGGGUAAAAAGAGGCUGAAAUAUCAAAGGAUACAGUCUUGGCAGGUAUUGCUGUUUUCCUCACAGGCUGAACAGGCAUGGGUGCUGUGAAUUCCAUUCAGGCUUGACUUUACUUUGCCUCCAUUUACUGUACUGUUACCCACAUCUUAAUUUUGCUGCUGAGAUGAGAAAACAAUCUGCCUCCACUUUACCACCUGAUUCCUUAGCAAGGCUUCAUGCUAUUACUAGCCAAGGAAACUCAUCCUUGCAGAAUUCUUCUGAGGGUGCAGAAUAAAGCUUAUGUAUCUCACGGCUUUAGUCUGUCCCAAAAGGCUGAAGCAGAAACAAUGGGCUAAAGAUCCCAUUGUCAGUCUGUACAAAGAUCUUCAGCAAUUAGGCUAUGUUAUCUAGAUAAUUUUCUUCUUUUCUAAAUGUGCAUGCUUUCUUUCCUGUUCUAGCUUCACCCUUUCCUGGGAAGCUCCCAGUUUUAUAAUACUUCCAUGGAAGGAGUGUAUUUGGAUGAGAAUGGGCAGUUGACAGUCGAAUCUGACGUUGUGAACUGGGUGCCAUUUCCCAACAAAUCCUUUGGUGCCGUGAAAUUUGGGAGCAUAAGCAGACAGGGAUCCUCAGGCCCAAAAUUCACCAUUGACCAAGAGGUUCUUGUGUGGUCCAGACUGCUCAACCAGGUUUGGUUGCAUUGUAUUCCCUUUUAGAGAUAUGUUGAGCUCUGAUUCUCUGUUGGGGGAAACAAUAGUAUAAUUUAUGCCUAUUCAAGUAAUGAGCUAAAACUAUACGGGGGAGGAGAUGAAUGGAGGAAAGUCAAAAUAAGAAACAUGAAAAUGGAAAAGCAGGUUAGAAUAUGACUGGGGCAUGGCUUUUGCAGCAGUCAGGAAGCAUGCCAGACUUCAGAAUUGAGCACAACACAGCUGCUCCAAAUACCUUUCUGUUUGUUGGUUUCUCUGGAUUUUGAUAUUUUUAAACAAUUUCAAUAACUACAGAUUUGAUCUUUGACUCCUAAAUCCAAGGGCAAUACAGUCUCCAUGUAAUUCUCUGUUAUUGUCUAUUUCUGCUUCAACUGUGUCCCAAGGACUAUGACCCUCUGUUUUGUCCCAUGGAUCAAAAAAAGCAUCGAACACCAUAGCCGUGUCUAUUCCACAUAGACUGAGACUAUACACUGGCCCAGAAGUUACUUGCUAACAGUCUUUCAUUGAUGCUUUUUUCUCUUUUUGGUCAGACCCUUCCUCAGUCCAGGUGUACCAAAAGCUGUCGCCCUGGAUAUGCCAAGAAGGUUCAGGAAGGGAAACCCAUUUGCUGCCAUAGUUGUGCUCCAUGUGCAGAAGGGAUGAUCUCCACUCAGGAAGGUAGGAGACUUCAGAGGAAUGUGCAGCA